CUAGGAUGUAGAGUGAGGUCCAAUCAAUUGUGUACCGAUGAAGCAUGCUGUAUUCAAGAGUGUCACUUCAUCAGAUAAGUGGUGAUGAAGGUUAGUCCCCAUCCGGUCCGGUCACCGUCUCCUGUCUCAUGUUUUCCUGGGCUGGAAUGCCCCUUCGAAGGCCUUAGUUGCAGGAGUAAAAUUACUAAACAUUUAUACCAAAUAAUGGUAGCGGCCAAUGUAACUAACGAAAUGGCCCACCCCUAAACGUACACACAUAAUGACGUGGUAAUGUCACAUCGUGCGUUCUCACAUCAUGCGUGGUGACAUCAUUAAAACCAACUUUAUUGUUCAAACACAACAUACAAUACAGUUCUAUAUAUGUAAGAGUUUAACAUUAAUAUUGUUAUUUCUAUUAUUAAGCCUUAAAUGAGAGUGCAAAGGGGAUUGUAAGGAAUAGAUACUAAAAAGAAUGCACUAAAUACAAAUGGAGAGUUAUUAUAUCUUUCAAGGAACUAGCACACAUAAAUAAAUAUUGCAACCAAAAAACCG